GGGCACUUAGCUCAGUUGGUAGAGCAAUUGACUCUUAAUCAAUAGGUCGUAGGUUCGAACCCUACAGUGCCCACCA
rnacentral:tRNA from 1 species